AGGACACUCUAUACGGAGUUACAAAGGACGACAUUAGACGAAUCAUCUGGAAAGAUGAAUCAAAGAAGGUAAUAAUCCUGUAGUCGAAAAUGUUGUCUCUCUUGAGUGGAUCCUGAGUACGACGGAGCACGUGAAAUUCCGUCGGAAUCUGGGAGGACCAUCUCCUAAGGCUAAAUACUCUCUAGUGACCGAUAGUGAACCAGUACCGUGAGGGAAAGGUGAAAAGCACCCCGGAAGGGGAGUGAAAUAGAACCUGAAACCGUGUGCUUACAAGUAGUCAGAGCCCGUUAAUGGGUGAUGGCGUGCCUUUUGUAGAAUGAACCGGCGAGUUACGAUUUGAUGCAAGGUUAAGCAGUAAAUGUGGAGCCGUAGCGAAAGCGAGUCUGAAUAGGGCGUUUAGUAUUUGGUCGUAGACCCGAAACCAGGUGAUCUACCCUUGGUCAGGUUGAAGUUCAGGUAACACUGAAUGGAGGACCGAACCGACUUACGUUGAAAAGUGAGCGGAUGAACUGAGGGUAGCGGAGAAAUUCCAAUCGAACCUGGAGAUAGCUGGUUCUCUCCGAAAUAGCUUUAGGGCUAGCCUCAAGUGAUGAUUAUUGGAGGUAGAGCACUGUUUGGACGAGGGGCCCCUCUCGGGUUACCGAAUUCAGACAAACUCCGAAUGCCAAUUAAUUUAACUUGGGAGUCAGAACAUGGGUGAUAAGGUCCGUGUUCGAAAGGGAAACAGCCCAGACCACCAGCUAAGGUCCCAAAAUAUAUGUUAAGUGGAAAAGGAUGUGGCGUUGCCCAGACAACUAGGAUGUUGGCUUAGAAGCAGCCAUCAUUUAAAGAGUGCGUAAUAGCUCACUAGUCGAGUGACACUGCGCCGAAAAUGUACCGGGGCUAAACAUAUUACCGAAGCUGUGGAUUGUCCUUUGGACAAUGGUAGGAGAGCGUUCUAAGGGCGUUGAAGCAUGAUCGUAAGGACAUGUGGAGCGCUUAGAAGUGAGAAUGCCGGUGUGAGUAGCGAAAGAUGGGUGAGAAUCCCGUCCACCGAUUGACUAAGGUUUCCAGAGGAAGGCUCGUCCGCUCUGGGUUAGUCGGGUCCUAAGCUGAGGCCGACAGGCGUAGGCGAUGGAUAACAGGUUGAUAUUCCUGUACCACCUAUAAUCGUUUUAAUCGAUGGGGGGACGCAGUAGGAUAGGCGAAGCGUGCGAUUGGAUUGCACGUCUAAGCAGUAAGGCUGAGUAUUAGGCAAAUCCGGUACUCGUUAAGGCUGAGCUGUGAUGGGGAGAAGACAUUG
rnacentral:rRNA from 1 species